rnacentral:lncRNA from 10 species
CCGCCAUCUGUUGAUAUCUUCCUAAUCUGUAUCUUCAAAAUAGACUUCUAUUUCAGACUUGUAUAAUUUAAUGGGAAGCAGAUGUCUCACAGACACCUCAAGCUCAACGUCCUGUUCCCACCCUCUCACUUUCUAUUGAAACUGUCUCUGCUGUCUGUACUCCCUUCCUUGUUCUUUUGCACCUGGACUAGACAGAAGACUACAGUUCAAUAAGAAGGAAACACAUUCAUUUUCAGUAUUGUUAAUAAAGAAGCUUACCUAAAAGAAGGAAAUCAAAACAAGAUAAUCUACACUGCAACUAGGGGAGGCUAUUGAAUGUGAUGGUCCCCUCAGAUGCCUAGAGGAAGAUGAACAAUGGUAAUCAGAUAUCCUAAAGUUAUCUUUAGGGCACUGGCAAAAUAGCAGCAAUGCCUGGUGGAAGCUGACUUUGUGCAUACACAUGAGAGCCCACAGAAAACUUCAAACUUCAUGGAAAUAAAACCUUCAGCUGCAGCUAAGAAUUUGGAGGUUACUGAAGGAGGUUACUUUUUCAAGAGCAGAAACAGCAUAUCAGCUCCUGCUUUCCAGACAAACUUCCUGGGUCUUGGGAAGAAGAAAGCCUCAGACUAAGAACUCUCUCUGGACUCAGACAGCCUGAAUUCAAAUCCCAUCUCUAUUCUUACUAGUCAUAUGAACACAGGAGAACCAUAUCCAUUCAGCUCACUUUGGACCACCUGUGGAGCCUGAUAACCAGGGAACAGAGAACCUGUUGAGAUCCAAAUUUGUGUGCCAGAUCACAAACUCAUCUGAAGCAGAUGCCACGUGUUACACUGUUAUGUCUCUCAGAGACUCCAGCACUUUGAAAGUAUUAGGCCUUGCUUAUUGAGAUGAAUAUUUUUUUCUAGGCAUGUCCCAAAGUUCUCAGCAUAGCUACAACCCUGAUUUUCACAGGAUUUUCAUUAAAAUUAGGUUCUAGAGCAUUACUUCCCUAAUGUGCAAUGCAACUUACGUUUAGUUUUCAAAUCAAAAUUAGUUUUGUUUUUCCACUGUCUUUGUCUUUGAAAAUAUUGAACUUGGGAUUUCCAAAAUUAUAAUUAGCAAUUAUUUUUACAUAUCUUUUAUAUACAUAACUUUUACAAUGGCUGCCAUUAUCAUGUAGGUUCUUAGGAAGUGUUUCUGAUCCUUGUAAAUAAAAGUGAAAGAAGAAAUCUUUACUGCUUGCUGACCCAUGUGACUAACCUUGAAAUCAGAGAGGCAGAUUCAUUUAAAACAAACUUGCAAACUGUUAAGCAAAGUACUGAAUCUCUGUGACUUGACCAAAAGUAAUUCAGACUUGACUAUUCCAGGCUCCCUUCUAUCUCUGUAGCAACCCAUGCAUCAUAGACUCCAGUUGCAAUGGAUGGUCAAGGAAUCUGCUGUGCCUUUUGAGUCUCUCCAUUUUAUAUUGCCAAAUUUAUCUUCCUUUAAUACUUCACUUCACAUAAGACACUAAGAUAAACAAGGAUGCAACUCACUUAUAUUUCAAAAUAGUACCUAGUGGUUAAAAGUACUUGUUCUGAAAGCAACUCUAUUUUUCUAGUUCUAACAUGUCUCCAACUAGUUAUCUCACCUUGAGCUUGGCACAUAAUCACUCCAUCUUACUUUUGCAUCUGUGACACAAGAAAAAUACCACCCACCUCAACAUAGAUCUUAUGAAGAUUAAAAUAAGAUUAUGAAAGUAAAAUGCUCAGCACAAUGUCUAAACGAAAAUAAAUGCUCAGCAAGUAGGAGCUACUAUAAUUAUUAUCCAGAUCAAAUAUUUUCUCCUCUAUGAAGCUUUCUUAUUCUUCCCCAGCUGGAAUUACUUAUUUUCUUCCUUGCUUUCUACACCACACUUUAGUCACCACCAUGCUGGCACUUGUCUCACCGCAUUAUAAUUAUUUAUGUGCCUGUGUUCCAUAACCAGAAUAUGGGACUUAAGCUUCUUUAUACCUCCAGCAUAAUUGUUUCAUGUGUGCUUUUAGGUAAUGGAGUAAAAUGGAUGAAUGAGUGAAUGCGACUAUAGUACUAAAUGCUCUUAGAUAAAGAUGUAAUUAUUCUUAAGUGAUAAAAUUAUUCGAACAUGAGUAGUUCAGAUAAUGAGAGACUGUCAUAGAAUUACUUGAUAAAAUCUAGUCAAUAAAAUGGCUUGGCAAUAUAACCUUUAUGAUUUCUUUAAACAAUCAUUCAUUUCUUUCUGAAGAUGAGAAGAGGAGAUUCCUUCUCCCAUCUUUAUAUUUCAACAAUGAUUAGAAAACAAAUUGAUCUCUGGGAUCAGUGCCCAAUACCAUUAAAGUGGUAUACAUCUUACAAUUCUUAAUUAAUUUGUGGCAUACAUAUACCAGUCUCCACAGCCAGCUUCAUCUGCAUACAGCAGCAUAAUCACUUUUUUCCUUAUAGUAAAGACAUAUUAUGAGUCAUCAAAGUCUUCUCCGGGGGUUGUGGUUAUCAUCUGGUAAUCACACCCUUGGGAGGUUAAAAACACUUAUCUUUGGAUCAUGACUUGCAAUGCCCCAGGGGUGUGAUUAUCUCAGGCAACUCACACUUUCUGUCAUGCCUAAUUGCUUAAUUAUUAUAGCUGCAAGUUCACACCACCAUACAGGAACUCAUGUUGUGUCAGCAUUUCCACUAUAAAUUCCUUUUUCAAGAGUCUAUAACUCAGCCAUAAAAAAAAAAAAAAAAAAAACCUAUGGUCCAUUGAAGCACUGCAGUAAGAGUCUUAUUCCAGGAAACAUUUCUGUAAUAGGUUAAUUGUAUCUUAAAAAUUGGGUCCUGAUUCUCAUAGUUAGUUCACCAAAGAAAUAAAUGCUAAUUAAAUGUCUCUAAAUUAUAUAUUUUUCUGUAUGGCUGGGUAAAUAAUGUAAAUCCUAAAGACAUAAAUAUUAUUUUUUAAAUAUAACAAGAAUGGCUCAUACAAUUUCCAGUUUUUUGGAAAUACACUUACACAUAUUUAUAAAAUAUUAUAUAAGUAGAAUGAGCUAAACCAUAGUUAGAGAACAUUGUCAUAUGCAAUCAUGUACUACAUAAUAUUUCAGUCAGUGGACAGCAUGUGGCAGUGGUCACAUAAGAUUAUAACGCAGCUGAAAAAUUCCUGUUGUCUAAUGACAUCAUGGCUGUCAUAACUGUCAUGGCCGUCAUGGCCAUCUGAACAUUGUAGUACAAUGUAUUCCUCAUGUGUUUGUGGUGAUGCUGAUGUAAACAAGCAUCUGCACUGCCAGUUGUAUAAAAGUGUAGCACAUACAAUUAUGUACAUACAAUUAUGCACACACAAUUAUGUACAACACAUAAUAUUUUAUAAUGACAAUAAACAAUUUUGUUACCGGUUUAUGUAUUCACUGUACUAUACCUUUCAUCAUUAUUUUAGAGUGUACUCUUUCUACUUAUAUAUAAAAAAAAGUUAAUUGUAAAACAGCCUCUAGCAGGUCCUUCAGGACAUAUUCCAGAAGAAGGCAUUGUUAUCAUAGGAGAUGACGGUUCCAUGCGUGUUAUUGCCCCUGAAGACCUUCCAGUGGGUCAAGAUAUGGAGGUGAAAGACAGUGAUAUUGAUGAUCCUGACCCUGCGUAGGCCAAG